GAGGGAAAUAGUUAGUUUUGUUUUCCCGAGAAUCUCAAUGUUUCCCGAGACGAAGUCGAGGGAAACAUUGAGAUUCGAGGGAAAACAAAACUAACUAUUUCCCGAGGGAAAAGACGUUAAGUGUUUUGUUAUAUAGCGAUGAAACAAAUAUCAACAUUGAACAACAUUCAUACAACAAUAUUUGUAUUUCAUGACAAAAACUCUAUAGCGUAAACGAGUUUAAAAUUUAAAAAACCUACUUAAAUGGUUUCAGCAGCAUAUCCUGUUGCCUGUUAUGUAUUUUUCUUCUCUUUCACAUUCUUUAUUUUAACACAAAGCCACGAAAACAGUAGUUUAAAUUGUAUAAAUUUGUGCCGCCAUUUUGUUUAUUUAUGUACGUAGCCGGUCGGGGCGGGCAACAAUUUUUCACUUAUUGCCCGGGCGGGG